GUUUCUGUAGUGUAGUGGUCAUCACGUUCGCCUCACACGCGAAAGGUCCCCGGUUCGAAACCGGGCAGAAACA
rfam:Mesitornis unicolor contig10127, whole genome shotgun sequence.